GUCCAUCACUUUAUAAGUACAUCGGCGUCUCCUGGCCUGUGAGGAGUCGGAACAUGGCUGCAGGCAUAGUCUUCAUGUGAAUCUAAAAGUCAACCAACAAAGAAAAAAAUCAGGUAGCGAGUGGCAGCCCAACCAGGCUGGUGUUGUUGAUGGACAUGAUCUGGUCUCCGAUGCUGAGCUUGCCCGAGCGUGCCGCAGGACCGCCGUUCAUCAUGUUGGCUAAAAUGACAGUAGGCAGGAUGGAGCCCCAGCCGGACUCCACAAUCACCACACCGAGGAUCUCACCUUUGCUCUUCUCCAGCUGCAGCUGUGUUCGUGGGAGCAGAGGAGAGGUCCUCUGGGUUGAUUCCAUUUGCUCUCAAGAACUCCUGAUAAGCAACACUGAAAGCCUGGCCGAUGGACUGGGCGAUGAGCUGAGCCUGUGUACAAAAACACAAUAAAAUAAAUAAGGUAAAUAAGGUCACCAGUCAGCCAUUCAGGUUUUACGUUUAAAGAUGUUAGUCAUUGUGGUGACAUCCCAGGCAGAAAGAAGUUUGCUUUUAAUUUCGUUGCAUUUUUCAAUGCAUAUUUCCAUCUAAUUUGGUUUAACUGAUUAUAGCAAUUAUUACAUAAAAAUGCAAAGCAAAAGUUCUCCUUUCUAUAAUUGGAUUAUUAAUGUUUUGCUAAGUAGAAUUGUAUUAAAAAAAACACAUUUUGUAUCACCUUUAUAGGCUUUUCAAAAACUAUGAGUCAAUUUAGCAAGGUGAUCAAAUAAAUAAAUAAAUAAAUAAAAUACGAGAUCAUAGCUGAAAAUAACUCAAGGGAGGAGUCUUGUUCGCAUUUUCUAAGGCCCUAGUCAUUUUAGCUAGCCAGAGCCAAUUCCUCUAUAUGAAUAAAUAAAAAAAUAUAUAAAUUUGAUAUUAGUUUAUGUAUAAUAAAUAUUAUUUCAUGUGUGUAUUUGAACAGUUGUAAUAGAUAUUCCUAUUUUGCAAAUUUCCAAAUUGGUAAAACACAUUAUUGACCCUCAUACAGAUCUCUAAUGUACGUAGGUGGGUAUGUGGCAUCACCAUGGAAAUUACAAAUGCUACUCUUCAGACAUAACAAGCAAGGAAAAAAUAACAUCAUCAUUAAAGAAACUUACAU